rnacentral:tRNA from 1 species
GGAGCGGCAGGGCCUGGUGGCCCAGCCGGUCUUCAAAACCGGUACGCCGUCGUAACCCGGCGGUAGGUGGGUUCGACUCCCACGCCGCUCCG